rnacentral:misc_RNA from 1 species
UUUCCGUAGGUGAACCUGCGGAAGGAUCAUUAUUGUAUAACCGAGGUGCGAGGGCUGUCGCUGACCCGAAAGGUCGUGCACGCCCGAGUGCCCUCACACACAUUCAUCUCACCCCUAUGUGCACCACCGCGUGGGUCCCCCUUUGGCUUGUUCGGAGGGGGGCUUACGUUUUCACACAAACUUUGUAUGCAGUGUAGAAUGUAUUUUUUGUUUUUGCGAUCACGCAAUCAAUACAACUUUCAACAACGGAUCUCUUGGCUCUCGCAUCGAUGAAGGACGCAGC